UUUUUGAACAUGAUAGGUUACGGCUUAAACAAUCCAGCUGUUUCUGUACCUCCCUGUCUAUCACUUUCCUUUUUUGGUCCAUAAAUAUUAUCCGAUCAUCUGGCAGCCCCCGAGCAGCUCUGAACCUAUUCUGGUUCUGGGGACUAUCUAAUUGUCAAUGGUUCUUUGCUCAGUUAAAUUCUGUUAAAUGUAAUUUGUCUAAAGUUUUCUUUUAUGAUGGGUUAAUGGAUUAAUGGAUGAUCAUGGGAGUGGAACUGAUGGCUUUAUAUGAGGAAGAGAGACCUGGCAAAUCCUUCGCCAAGUGAUGCUGCUGCCCCAAGAUUCGGCAUGUGAUAGCCUGUGCCACCUCAGGGCACGACACAAGAUCCCCACCAGCAAGAAAGCUCUCACCCAGUGUGCCCCCUUGACCUUGGACUUCCAAGCCUCCAUAACGCAGGGAGCUGGGUAGAGAAAAAUCAAAGUGCUUAAGGUGCUCUUAGGAAGAAACAAUGGAAACCUGUCAACUGGAAUGACACAGAAAUCUUUAAAAGCUGUUUAAACUAUUCUGUACAAUAAGAAUUUCUUUAAGCUUUAUUCAUAGUUAAAAGACAGGAUUUUUGGGUAAAUGGAUAGCUUUGAUAAUUUUGAUGACUUGAUCAUUUUCUGACUUGGUGCCUGGCAAAUUGGCCCACUUCUGUCCUACAGCACCUCUGAAAAAGGCAUGUCAAAUCCAAAAGUCCCUGCUCCAUAGCUGUGAGGAACAUAUCUGACUUUCAAGCAGAGGUAUGGGAUUCUAUUUUUGUGGUAACCACUUGCAAUAGUUGAUAGCAGUAACUCAGUAAAUACUCACUAUGGUAGCAAACACCUAGGGAAUAACUUUUUUGUUCUAUGAUUCUACUAAUAAGUAGAUAAUAUGCAUUGAUUGGAGAUUUCAAUAAUGCUGAAAGGUUAAUUUUUUUCAGGUUAAAAAAAAACAAUUUUACAGAUCUAUUAGUUGUUACCUGGCAGCCUUUUGGUUAAGAAUAAGGUUAACUGUCUUGAACUGGUAAACAAAGGCUUUAAAUUAAUCAAGUGUUGUACAAUAGAUGUAUGUGAAUUACCAUUCUUUGUAUUAAAGGUUUUUUUUAAAAAGUUA
rnacentral:lncRNA from 1 species